rnacentral:rRNA from 1 species
CACGUAGGGUGCGAGCGUUGUCCGGAAUUAUUGGGCGUAAAGAGCUCGUAGGCGGUGUGUCGCGUCGGCCGUGAAAACUUGGGGCUUAACUCUGAGCGUGCGGUCGAUACGGGCAUCACUUGAGUUCGGCAGGGGAGACUGGAAUUCCUGGUGUAGCGGUGAAAUGCGCAGAUAUCAGGAGGAACACCGGUGGCGAAGGCGGGUCUCUGGGCUGAUACUGACGCUCAUGCACGAAAGCGUGGGGAGCAAACAGG